AAUAUUGGUCAAUGGCCGCAAGGCUGAACCAGCCAUGCCGCGUGCAGGAAUAAGGCCCUAUGGGUCGUAAACUGCUUUUGUGGUGGAGCAAUAAGACGUACGUGUACGUCGAUGAGAGUACAUCACGAAUAAGCAUCGGCUAACUCCGUGCCAGCAGCCGCGGUAAUACGGAGGAUGCAAGCGUUAUCCGGAUUUAUUGGGUUUAAAGGGUGCGUAGGCUGUUUGUCAAGUCAGGGGUGAAAUACCUGAGCCUAACUCAGGAACUGCCUUUGAUACUGGCAGGCUGGAAUACGGAUGCCGUGGGAGGAAUGAGUAGUGUAGCGGUGAAAUGCAUAGAUAUUACUCAGAACACCGAUUGCGAAGGCAUCUCACGAAUCCGUCAUUGACGCUGAGGCACGAAAGCGUGGGGAUUAAACAGG
rnacentral:rRNA from 1 species